rnacentral:rRNA from 1 species
GAUGAACGCUGGCGGCGUGCCUAAUACAUGCAAGUCGAGCGAACAGACGAGGGGCUUGCUCCUCUGACGUUAGCGGCGGACGGGUGAGUAACACGUGGCUAACCUACCUAUAAGACUGGGAUAACUUCGGGAAACCGGAGCUAAUACCGGAUAAUAUAUUGAACCGCAUGGUUCAAUAGUGAAAGACGGUUUUGCUGUCACUUAUAGAUGGAUCCGCGCCGCAUUAGCUAGUUGGUAAGGUAACGGCUUACCAAGGCAACGAUGCGUAGCUGACCUGAGAGGGUGAUCGGCCACACUGGAACUGAGACACGGUCCAGACUCCUACGGGAGGCAGCAGUAGGGAAUCUUCCGCAAUGGGCGAAAGCCUGACGGAGCAACGCCGCGUGAGUGAUGAAGGUCUUCGGAUCGUAAAACUCUGUUAUUAGGGAAGAACAAAUGUGUAAGUAACUCUGCACGUCUUGACGGUACCUAAUCAGAAAGCCACGGCUAACUACGUG